rnacentral:rRNA from 1 species
AUGAUGAUAUAUAUGGUUGGGGUAGCAGUAGCACUAACUGAAAAGAAGCUUGUCCAACAUCAUCUGAGAUGGUUUAGGCAUAUACAACGCAGGCCUCCAGAAGUGUCCGUGCAUAGAGGAAGGAUAAAGCGUGUUGAUGAUGUCAAGAGAGGUCGGGAUAGACCAAACUUGACAUGGGAGGAGUUUGUUAAGAGACUUGAAGGACUGGAAUAUCACCAAAUAACUAGCCAUGGACAUUUGUGCAUGCAAGUUAGCUAUCCACGUGCGCGAACCAUAACUAGGUUUCGAGAUCUUAUGGGUUUCAAUUCUAGCCUACCCCAACUUGUUUGGGAUUGA